rnacentral:tRNA from 1 species
GCGCCCUUAGCUUAACGGAUAAAGUCCCGGUCUUCGGAACCGGUUAUAGGGGUUCGAUUCCCUUAGGGCGCACCA